GAUGAACGCUGGCGGCGUGCCUAAUACAAGCAAGUCGAGCGAACUGAUUAGAAGCUUGCUUCUAUGACGUUAGCGGCGGACGGGUGAGUAACACGUGGGCAACCUGCCUGUAAGACUGGGAUAACUUCGGGAAACCGAAGCUAAUACCGGAUAGGAUCUUCUCCUUCAUGGGAGAUGAUUGAAAGAUGGUUUCGGCUAUCACUUACAGAUGGGCCCGCGGUGCAUUAGCUAGUUGGUGAGGUAACGGCUCACCAAGGCAACGAUGCAUAGCCGACCUGAGAGGGGGAGUGGCCACACUGGGACUGAGACACGGCACAGACUCCUACGGGAGGCAGAAGGAGGGAAUGUUCCGCAAUGGACGAAAGUCUGACGGAGCAACGCCGCGUGAGUGAUUAAGGCUUUCGGGUCGUAAAACUCUGUUGUUAGGGAAGAACAAGUACGAGAGUAACUGCUCGUACCUUGACGGUACCUAACCAGAAAGCCACGGCUAACUACGUGCCAGCAGCCGCGGUAA
rnacentral:rRNA from 1 species